rnacentral:rRNA from 1 species
AGAGUUUGAUCCUGGCUCAGGAUGAACGCUGGCGGUAUGCUUAACACAUGCAAGUCGAACGGAAUGCUUCGGCAUUUAGUGGCGGACGGGUGAGUAACGCGUGAGAAUCUGGCUUCAGGAUGGGGACAACAGUAGGAAACUGCUGCUAAUACCCGAUGUGCCGAGAGGUGAAAGAUUUAUCGCCUGAAGAUGAGCUCGCGUCUGAUUAGCUAGUUGGUGGGGUAAUGGCCUACCAAAGCGACGAUCAGUAGCUGGUCUGAGAGGAUGAUCAGCCACACUGGGACUGAGACACGGCCCAGACUCCUACGGGAGGCAGCAGUGGGGAAUUUUCCGCAAUGGGCGCAAGCCUGACGGAGCAAUACCGCGUGCGGGACGAAGGUCUUUGGAUUGUAAACCGCUUUUCUCAGGGAAGAAUGAUGACGGUACCUGAGGAAUCAGCCUCGGCUAACUCCGUGCCAGCCGCCGCGGUAAUAC